AUGAUGAUGCCAUUUGAUAAAAUUCUUUGUUUUAUAAAGCUCGACGAAUAGAGAGUUUAAAAGAGAUGAUAGUUUUCCACUCAAUAUUUUAUUGAGGUAACUGGUGAACUCAAGAGCAACGGAAAAGUGAAAGGUAACUGCACCAAUCUUUAUCAAAAAAGUAUAUAUAUAUAUAUAAAAAAAAAACAAAAAAAAAAUUAAUAAAUAAAUUUACUUUUCUUAUUGUAUGUUUUAGUAUACUUGAGCAUUUAUAUUUUCUUUUUCAUAAAUUCGUUUUGCAAAAAGCAGACUCAACCCUGGGCGGCAAGAGUUACAGCGAAGUCUUGAUGUCAGAAUUAAUAACCUUCCGUUAUUAAUUCCUUGGGGGGAGUAUGGGGUAAUGUUACCAUUGGGGUAUUCUGCCCAAUCAGAACCCACCGAGAGCAAGUAUUAAGAGUACUCAAUCUGAGUGCUUACUUAGAAGACAUAAUAUUCAUCGAUUUAAUAUCGACAAUUUUUCCCGCUUUUAUUUAAAUAUAUGCUUCAUUAAUAAGAACAAAAACUGUUAAAUGACUGAAACGGACCUUAGUUAGUAUAAGAUUAAAAUAUUAAAACACAGUAAUCACAAAUGUAACACAGUAGCGAUCACUCCAAAUAAUGGAUAGAAAGUAUUCACUUUACACUGAUGACACGAAACAAAAUACACUAAACACUUAGCCACGAGUUAAAAAUAAGAGUUGGAAAACGUCAACUGGAAAGCGGAACGGAAAUGCCAGUUAGGAUGGGUAGCUAAUCAUUAUACUAAAAGGCUCUACUUGUUCUUUCCAUUCUCAGCCGGCAAAGUGUGCGCAUCGGGCAUAUCGAUACAUUUAGCCCAAUAAAGUUAAUUAGUGGAAAGAUUUAAUACAAGUUCCAGAAGAUAGCCUUGAAUCAAGACCCAGAAAUCUUGUGCAUAAAAUCCAACAAAGCACCAUUUGGUCAGAGGCAAAUGGGCCAGUGAUCCGAAAAGCAAUUCGAUCCUUUCGGCCCUGAAGAAUCAGAGAGUUGCAACCGAGAAGUUCCGCAGAGGCUCCAGGUUGGCUUAGGCAAGCCAGUGAGCCUUCUCGUUUAACGCUACCGUUGGUCUGUUGAGGAGCCUGUGAACCAGCACGAGGUGCUGACCCGCGGGCACCAUCCAGAGCAACCAAGAAGGAUUGAUCUUCACCACGAGGUUCUGGAGGGCACCGUUCGAUCCCUUCAAACGGGCUCGUGAAACUUCGAACGUGUACCCUUCAGUUCCGUCGCUCCAUUGGUGACCUCAGCUUCGAAACUAGGUCCCGGAGUUCAUCCAGUUGACACCCCGAACAUUCGAACCAACACCUGAACCACCAUAGACCAUCCAUCGCCGGCCGGCCCAGCAUCAGCAGCAGCAGGAGCAGAAACACACACCACACCCACACACGACACACACGUAAGUUUUUGUAAAAUAUACAGGACAUGAAAAUUUUA